GUACAGAGCUGUGCAAAGACACUCCUCGAGAGGUGAAGCAAAUUGCCGGCCCACUAUUCUAGGUGUAGUUAUCAGCAUUUUCUAGAUUCCCAUACAUGACUCUGAAGAUGAAGUCCACACAAGAGAAUGUUUAGACCACCACUGCUGCCAAGUCGUUUUGGUGUUAGCCUUUAUCACAGUGAUUUUCUAGGUUGCGAGAGAAAAUCAACCACAAAGCUGAUGCUGCCACUAUGAGGGAGAGAUACCGAUGUCAAACCCCUGUCCCAUGGAAAGGAGGGUGUAACUUGCGUAUGGGCAAAAGAAUGUAGGCCACCACCAUUCAGGGAUUUGAAGGGUUUGGAAGCAUUGAAGAAUUUUAAUAGGAGAAGGGUACAGAUUCUAGCCAGCUCAGGUGCUGACCUGAUUGCAUUCGAAACAAUUCCAAAUAAGCUAGAAGCAAAGAAAUCAACUGGGAAUGUAGAUGAAGAUUUUGUGUCAUAAAUAAGUCAAGCGGAGGGAGGCUGGGGCUUUUCUUUUUGAUGGAAUGCUUGAGAGAAUUGUCGUGUCGUGGACUAGUUUGAUUUGUGGUUAUGCUAGUAGGGAUUAUCCUGAAGAGGCAGCUUCUUUGUUUUUUAAAAUCUUAACCUUGUUUGAAUUGCAUAUGGAU